GACGAACGCUGGCGGCGUGCUUAACACAUGCAAGUCGAACGGUAAGGCUCCAGCUUGCUGGGGUACACGAGUGGCGAACGGGUGAGUAACACGUGGGUGACCUGCCCUGCACUUCGGGAUAAGCCUGGGAAACUGGGUCUAAUACCGGAUAGGACCGCACCGUGAGGGUGUGGUGGAAAGUUUUUUCGGUGUGGGAUGGGCCCGCGGCCUAUCAGCUUGUUGGUGGGGUAAUGGCCUACCAAGGCGGCGACGGGUAGCCGGCCUGAGAGGGUGGACGGCCACAUUGGGACUGAGACACGGCCCAGACUCCUACGGGAGGCAGCAGUGGGGAAUAUUGCACAAUGGGCGGAAGCCUGAUGCAGCGACGCCGCGUGGGGGAUGACGGCCUUCGGGUUGUAAACUCCUUUCACCAUCGACGAAGGGUUUCUGACGGUAGAUGGAGAAGAAGCACCGGCUAACUACGUGCCAGCAGCCGCGGUAAUACGUAGGGUGCGAGCGUUGUCCGGAAUUACUGGGCGUAAAGAGCUCGUAGGUGGUUUGUCGCGUCGUCUGUGAAAUUCCGGGGCUUAACUCCGGGCGUGCAGGCGAUACGGGCAUAACUUGAGUACUGUAGGGGAGACUGGAAUUCCUGGUGUAGCGGUGAAAUGCGCAGAUAUCAGGAGGAACACCGGUGGCGAAGGCGGGUCUCUGGGCAGUAACUGACGCUGAGGAGCGAAAGCAUGGGGAGCGAACAGGAUUAGAUACCCUGGUAGUCCAUGCCGUAAACGGUGGGCGCUAGGUGUGGGUUUCCUUCCACGGGAUCCGUGCCGUAGCUAACGCAUUAAGCGCCCCGCCUGGGGAGUACGGCCGCAAGGCUAAAACUCAAAGGAAUUGACGGGGGCCCGCACAAGCGGCGGAGCAUGUGGAUUAAUUCGAUGCAACGCGAAGAACCUUACCUGGGCUUGACAUAUACAGGAUCGCGCCAGAGAUGGUGUUUCCCUUGUGGCUUGUAUACAGGUGGUGCAUGGUUGUCGUCAGCUCGUGUCGUGAGAUGUUGGGUUAAGUCCCGCAACGAGCGCAACCCUUGUCUUAUGUUGCCAGCACGUUGUGGUGGGGACUCGUAAGAAACUGCCGGGGUUAACUCGGAGGAAGGUGGGGAUGACGUCAAAUCAUCAUGCCCCUUAUGUCCAGGGCUUCACACAUGCUACAAUGGUCGGUACAGUGGGUUGCCAGUCCGUGAGGGCGAGCUAAUCCUGCAAAGCCGGUCUCAGUUCGGAUCGGGGUCUGCAACUCGACCCCGUGAAGUCGGAGUCGCUAGUAAUCGCAGAUCAGCAACGCUGCGGUGAAUACGUUCCCGGGCCU
rnacentral:rRNA from 1 species